rnacentral:lncRNA from 1 species
UAAACGGUCAUAAAUGAAUAACCUUCUUAAAAUAGAGGUUAGACUUUCUCAUUUCAUAAUCAGAGUUAUCAAACAUUAUCUAAAUAGUAUAAAAAAUUUUCUAUAAAAAAUUCAAGCAAUUUGGAUUACUCUACACUGUUAAGCAAGCAAAAACGGCUCAUAUAAGACGUCAAAAAUUGUCGAUUUUACGACACUUUGAUUACCAUGUAAAUAAUUUUUAAAAUUUAUAAAUUUAGUUUCUAGAUACUUCAAAUACUCUAGAUCAACUUCAACGGAGUUUUCUACCGUUAGAUCUACCCUUUGAUCAUUUCCACCCGUUAGAUUACACUAUUAAACCAACCACCCACUCAACCCUAGGGGACCACUAUCAAUUUUACUAGGGGCCACUAUCAUCCUAACCGCACAUCUUUUCAUUCAACGGUCGAAAACUCAAUAGUACCAAGGGCUUGGUACUAUUGAUAGUAUAGUAGCAUAUAUAUAUAUA